CCAUAAACUUUCAGCUAGAGUAUGAUAGAGAAAGCAGAAUUCUAGUGUAGAGGUGAAAUUCGUAGAUAUUAGAAAGAAUACCAAUUGCGAAGGCAGCUUUCUGGAUCAUUACUGACACUGAGGAACGAAAGCAUGGGUAGCGAAGAGGAUUAGAUACCCUCGUAGUCCAUGCCGUAAACGAUGUGUGUUAGACGUUGGAAAUUUAUUUUCAGUGUCGCAGCGAAAGCGAUAAACACACCGCCUGGGGAGUACGACCGCAAGGUUAAAACUCAAAUGAAUUGACGGGGACCCGCACAAGUAGUGGAGCAUGUGGUUUAAUUCGAAGAUACGCGCAGAACCUUACCAACACUUGACAUGUUCGUCGCGACUCUAAGAGAUUAGAGUUUUCGGUUCGGCCGGACGAAACACAGGUGCUGCAUGGCUGUCGUCAGCUCGUGUCGUGAGAUGUUGGGUUAAGUCCCGCAACGAGCGCAACCCUCACUUUUAGUUGCCAUCAUUAAGUUGGGCACUCUGAAAGAACUGCCAGUGAUAAGCUGGAGGAAGGUGGGGAUGACGUCAAGUCCUCAUGGCCCUUACGUGUUGGGCUACACACGUGCUACAAUGGUAUCUACAACAGGAAGCAAAACGGCGACGUUAAGCAAAUCCUUAAAAGAUACCUCAGUUCGGAUUGCACUCUGCAACUCGAGUGCAUGAAGCUGGAAUUACUAGUAAUCGUGGAUCAGCGUGCCACGGUGAAUGCGUUCCCGGGUCUUGUACACACCGCCCGUCACACCAUGGGAGUUGGUUCUACCUUAAGGCAAGGUUUUAAACCCUUGACCACGGUAUAGUCAGCGACUGGGGUAAAGUCGUAACAAGGUAACCGUA
rnacentral:rRNA from 1 species